AUUGAACGCUGGCGGCAGGCCUAACACAUGCAAGUCGAGCGGAGCGGCGGACGGGCGAGUAAUGCCUAGGAAUCUGCCUGGUAGUGGGGGAUAACGUCCGGAAACGGGCGCUAAUACCGCAUACUAUCAGAUGAGCCUAGGUCGGAUUAGCUAGUUGGUGGGGUAAAGGCCUACCAAGGCGACGAUCCGUAACUGGUCUGAGAGGAUGAUCAGUCACACUGGAACGAAGACACGGUCCAGACUCCUAAGGGAGGCAGGAGGGGGGAAACUUGGACAAUGGGCGAAAGCCUAAUCCAGCCAUGCCGCGAGUGUGAAGAAGGUCUUCGGAUUGUAAAGCACUUUCAGCGGGGAGGCGUUACCCGCAGAAGAAGCACCGGCUAACUCCGUGCCAGCAGCCGCGGUAAUUC
rnacentral:rRNA from 1 species